AAAAAGUUAUAGCUAAGUAAGUUUAGAAAGAGUUUGGAAAGUAACUUUACUCAAGUACUGUACUUCAGUACAAUCUAGAGGAAUUUGUACUUGCUAUUUUAUACCUUUACUUCACUACAUUUCAGAGUGAAAUAUUGUACUUUUUACUUAUUAUUUUACUUUACACAUCAAUAAUUUAUAUUCAAAUCAUAUGAUCACUUCAUGAAUUAUGAUCCACUGUUAUACAUUAAAGGUUCAAUAUAUAAGAUAUGCCAGAAUUUAAACUUAAAACAGAAAGGGGCUGUAAAGGGCAAUUCUGCAUAAGAGUACUUUUACUUUGAUACUUAAGGUACAUUGUGUUGCUCAUACUGCUAUAGCUUUUUAAGUAAAUGCUUUACAUGCUGGACUUUAAACACUGUUUUUACACUUACUCAUUUAAGAUUCUGAAUACUUAUUUGACCACUGGUGAAGUACAUGAAAACUAUUUAUUACAAAACCAGAACCUAACAGCACCUGAAGAUCAAAUAAAAAACCUUUUAGUCCGGUCCCUGCAAAACAUAAUGGAUCACGCUUCUGAAAUUGGCAGUUGCAAUGAAAGUAAAAUCAAGAGGAGGAUGUGACGUGCGUCAUGUUUUUCACAGUUGUGGAUCCCUGCAAUUGGCCAGAGGUGGACUCCCAGCCUCUGAACCUUGAAGAUUCCUGGAGGCUGCGUGUCGCCUCUGCUCGGGUGUAUUCCACCGUAAAGAACAGGGACAUGGAGCACUUUGAGAGAGCGCUGGGCUUUCUGGAAGCCACUUACAGACUUCUACCCAGACUGGUGUCUCCCAUCAAACACAUGAAGAUCAUGUUUGGCCUCAAGACCAUGGUAUGAAGAUGAGUAGCAUUCAUUAAUUCAAGCAUGUGCAAUGGCUGUUACUUACAUGUUCCAGCUGUGGUUUAGGCUCUUUUAUAUUUUUACAUUUCUAUUUAAUUUUCCUGCUUUUUAUGUUUAUCUCCAUCUCAAUUUCUCUCUCUUCUAUUGUCACUCCAUCCAGGUGAUUAUGUGGAUGCUCAGAGAGGGCCGAGGAAUGGUUGAUACUGUGUUUAAAAUCAGCAAGUUCUUCCCAAGUAAACUCCCUCAAUACCAAGAUCAAUGUAGCCAACAUAAAAUAUUCCUAAUGAGGAAGAACCACCUGGACUUCAAGGCUCUGGCACAAGUACUUGCUUUGGACAAGGACACAUGUAAAGAUUAUGUUAAGAAUCGGAUGGAGGAGCAGUAUGGUGAACAUUAUGCCCAGAAAGUAGAGGACAGACUUCUGCACUAUCUGCACGAGUUGGAGACUGUGUUACCAGGAGAUACCUUCAUUGAUAAGUUACUGAAGAAGGAAAUCCCUGCGUCUGAGGAGGAGAAGCUAUUGUUGGAAGCAAUUACCUCUGACUCCAUGAACAUAGCAACAACUCUGAAGAAACUGCUGCGCUGCGAUGUUGUUUCCUGUCGUCGGGGCAAGAUUUCUCAGUCAUCGGCACAUGGAAUGAAUGGAUUGGAAAACUCUCAACUCUCAAAGUCUGUUCUCUUUGGCAGUUCUUCAAAGGCUCUCCUCCAAACAGAGGAGGAUGGUGAGGUAGUCAAGAGGGUGGAGGAAGACAGUGGUGACAAGGAAAAUAAAGAAUUCAGUGAGAGUAGCAGUGAACACGUUCAGGAAGCCGCCUCCUCCCCUCAGUUCUGCUCUAAACACCAAAGAUGGGUGAGGAGCAUCCUGCAGGAGUGCUCAGAAGAGCUGCCGCUUCAAGCCAAUGUUUCUUUGUCUCCCUUACUGUUCCAGUCUUCCUCAUCCAUCACUUCAUCACAGGACCUCACACCCUCUGACCUCAUUCCUUGCCCCCCUGACCAACAGCCUUCAAAGACCUCCACCCAUCUUCCGACAGCAGCUCAGGCAUCUGAACAAGCAAACCCCAAAGAUGAGCAGAGCGCUGGAUCAGCAAGUGAUGCGUCUCAAACAGAACUUAUGCUACAGCCGUCUUCGUCCAGAGACACUCGGCUGCCUAUUCUGUUGUCGCCGGUGGUCCGACUGAUAGACAUUGCCUCCAUCAGAAUGAUCUACCAUUCCUUUAAACCCCAUCAAGCUCCUCUAAAUCCCUGCACCAUGUACAGUAACAAACAUACAUUUUCGACUUCUAGUCUUCAGAUGCUAACCUCUCCACACCGCCCUACUUUAGGGAACAAUGCUCUACCACGAGGAACGAUGAAACAGUCUGUGCUCGGUCAACCCGACACUGUGGUCCCAACAAAUCCCCAGAACACAACAUACAAAUCAGCUCCUGUAUCUCAAGAUGCACCUACCUCUACCAGAUGUCAAACACCAAUACAACAAUCUUUUUCCAAACUUUCAACAAAGUCCAGAAAGGCUUGUACUACCGCCAGACAUUCACAAGCUCUGGACAGAUUCAGUGUUUCUGGGCCUCCAACAGAAGAAGCUUCUACCUCUACUUCCCCUUCAGGGACUCUAUCCUCAGUCUGUGCUGAUAUCCAAUUCCCUUUAUCUUCUGUAUCAUCUCGACAAGUUGUCCCUCAGAACUCCAUAAAACCUCAUCCUCAUACACCCCAUAUCAGUCCUUUUCAAUCAAAGACCUUACCAUGCUCCACUGUCAUCUCCUCGGCCUCCAACUCUGAUCGCCUGGUUGUCAGGUCUGAGACCAGCAGAGUCCAGAGAGCUGAGCUGAGGUUAUCACUGGCAAGUCAGGCUGUGUUGCUGCAGUCUAAGUUGCUCCAGCCCUACGUGACACUUAACAGACUGAGCGUUCAGGAGUGUUACAGAGUGACAAAGUGGAGAUCCUCCACCAGAUAUGCAGAGCCUGUGGUACAAGGCAGCAAUGAUGACAAUGAUGAGGACAGGAGGGUAGAGGAGGAAAAAGAUGCAGGUUCUCUUGAUUUGAACACUCUUUACACCAGUCAAUCCUCAAGUAGUGACGAGGACUCACUUGAUUGCGACCCUGAUUACAAGCCUUGCUUUAAAAAGAAAAGACUUCUCUUAGAGUAUGAAACUGCAAGGAGCCUGCAUCAUGUAUGAGAACAUUCUAACAUGCGGACUACAGCCUUACUACAGCCUGACUUACUGUAUACAGGCUUUUUAGCAGCAAUACGGAUAUCGAUAUUUAGAGUUUAAGAACUCAGGUAAUGAUUUAUUGGCCAAGAGUACAUUUUAUACAACUUUGAUAUGGAUCCAUUAGAUACAUUUAAAAAAAGAAUCGUGACCAAGUUGCAUAAGCGGAACAUUUUACAUCAAACUUAAAAUGAAAUCAACUUUCUCAACGUGCUCUAUGGUCUAUAAACAAAGUAAUGGUGACGCUGUUUCUAAAUGACAACAAACCUACCGCCCACCAUCUUUUGUCAGUUCUCAAUUAUUAUCGUAGCAUUUCUCUUAAAUAUUUGGGUGUUUUGUAAUAAAAGAAAAUGGUUUAUCACUGUAGAUUUGUUGACAAAUCAGAAUAAAUAACCUUGUGGGGUUUUCAGCAGAGAUGUUUUCUGUGGGUCAGUCGGUCGGUCCAGCAACACUUUGGUCCAGAAUGAAAUAUCUCUACAACUGUUAAAUUGAUUGCCAUGACAUUUUUGAAGGCUGGCAGUGCUGUAGAAUCAUAGUGUAAUGGUCAUUUUUAUCCUGACUUGUACUCUCCUAUUCUUUUAGUAUGCUCAUUUAUGUUUGUCCUACUUGCAGUGAUUAGGACCAGAGCACACUCUGGUCAUGUUCCCCUUGUAUUCUUGUAUCUCUUAAUGUGUCAGCUUGCAUUCCUAUAUCUCUAGAUGUGUCAGCUUGUACCUCUUGUAUCAGCUAGAUGUGCGUAGUUGCACACACACCCGAUUGUCUGUAAACAUUGUCACCCACUUGGCCACUAUAUAAUCUAAUUGUAUUCUCUGUUCGUAGAGCUUCAUGGUAGAGUGUUUGAACGUCACACUAGACCGUUUGACACUUUGUUUUGUUGUUCCAUUUCUGCAGAAAUAAAGAGCUCACUUCUUUAACCAAGUAUCUUUAUUUCAGUAUAAUAGAUUCACUUCUCACAACAACCCUUUGGUUUAGUU
ensembl:lncRNA uncharacterized LOC115009287